AAAUUGAAGAGUUUGAUCAUGGCUCAGAUUGAACGCUGGCGGCAGGCCUAACACAUGCAAGUCGAACGGUAACAGGAAACAGCUUGCUGUUUCGCUGACGAGUGGCGGACGGGUGAGUAAUGUCUGGGAAACUGCCCGAUGGAGGGGGAUAACUACUGGAAACGGUAGCUAAUACCGCAUAACGUCGCAAGACCAAAGAGGGGGACCUUCGGGCCUCUUGCUAUCGGAUGUGCCCAGAUGGGAUUAGCUAGUAGGUGGGGUAACGGCUCACCUAGGCGACGAUCCCUAGCUGGUCUGAGAGGAUGACCAGCCACACUGGAACUGAGACACGGUCCAGACUCCUACGGGAGGCAGCAGUGGGGAAUAUUGCACAAUGGGCGCAAGCCUGAUGCAGCCAUGCCGCGUGUAUGAAGAAGGCCUUCGGGUUGUAAAGUACUUUCAGCGGGGAGGAA
rnacentral:rRNA from 3 species